GAUGAACGCUGGCGGCGUGCCUAAUACAUGCAAGUCGAGCGAACAGACGAGGAGCUUGCUCCUCUGACGUUAGCGGCGGACGGGUGAGUAACACGUGGAUAACCUACCUAUAAGACUGGGAUAACUUCGGGAAACCGGAGCUACUACCGGAUAAUAUAUUGAACCGCAUGGUUCAAUAGUGAAAGACGGUUUUGCUGUCACUUAUAGAUGGAUCCGCGCCGAAUGAGCUAGUUGGUAAGGUAACGGCUUACCAAGGCAACGAUGCGUAGCCGACCUGAGAGCGUCAUCGGCCACACUGGAACUGAGACACGGCCCAGACUCUGACGGGAGGCAGCAGUAGGGAAUCUUCCGCAAUGGGCGAGAGCCUGAUGUAGCAACGCCGCGUGAGUGAUGAAGGUGUUAGGAUCGGAAAACUCUGUUAUCAGGGAAGAACAAAUGCGUAAGUAACCAUGCACGUCUUGACGGUACCGAAUCAGAAAGCCACGGCUAACUACGUG
rnacentral:rRNA from 1 species